AUUGAACGCUGGCGGCAGGCCUAACACAUGCAAGUCGAGCGGAUGAAGAGAGCUUGCUCUCUGAUUUAGCGGCGGACGGGUGAGUAAUGCCUAGGAAUCUGCCUGGUAGUGGGGGAUAACGUCCGGAAACGGGCGCUAAUACCGCAUACGUCCUACGGGAGAAAGCAGGGGACCUUCGGGCCUUGCGCUAUCAGAUGAGCCUAGGUCGGAUUAGCUAGUUGGUGAGGUAAUGGCUCACCAAGGUUACGAUCCGUAACUGGUCUGAGAGGAUGAUCAGUCACACUGGAACUGAGACACGGUCCAGACUCCUACGGGAGGCAGCAGUGGGGAAUAUUGGACAAUGGGCGAAAGCCUGAUCCAGCCAUGCCGCGUGUGUGAAGAAGGUCUUCGGAUUGUAAAGCACUUUAAGUUGGGAGGAAGGGCAGUAAGUUAAUACCUUGCUGUUUUGACGUUACCGACAGAAUAAGUACCGGCUAAUUUCGUGCCAGCAGCCGCAGUAACAC
rnacentral:rRNA from 1 species